ACGCUCGACACCUACGGAGGCAGCAGUGGGGAAUAUUGCACAAUGGGGGAAACCCUGAUGCAGCAACGCCGCGUGAAGGAAGACGGUUUUCGGAUUGUAAACUUCUGUUCUUAGUGAAGAUAGUGACGGUAGCUAAGGAGCAAGCCACGGCUAACUACGUGUCAGCAGCCGCGUAAUCUGAGGCCGGGGCUGGGACGAAGGC
rnacentral:rRNA from 1 species